rnacentral:lncRNA from 1 species
AGACCACCACGGUGACUUGUAAGCAACUCACUAUACUUUAGUAUCAGACCAUCUAAGUUUCUAACUCAGUAACAGAAGGAUAUUGGGUGCAGUCAAGUACUUAUCAAGUCAGUGUGUGAGCCAAGAUGGAAUUGAUCCCUCUGAAUUAGUAGGAGAUAUGCAUCAGUGUAUUUCAAUUCAGUAAAACCUUGGCCAGGAUAAUCCAUGAGAUAGAUUUGAAAGAUUGAAAUACAAUGUGGUUGACUAAAUUAGGGUUGACAGUAAAAUCUUAGGUUGC